GAGCGCCUCCAUUUACACGGAGCGCUUGUUGGCGGGCUGGAAGUCGCGGGCAGUCUUGGGGCGCUGGACCAGGAAGCCCAUGAUCUGCACCUGCUUCUGGUUGUCGAAGGCCACCAGGCGCACGUAGGCAUCGGGGAAGGCCUUGGUGCAGGCGACGAUCUCGCGCAGCACCUGCAUGGGGUCGCGGCAGCCGAACAUGGGCAGCUUCCACAUGGUCCAGUAGCGGUUGUCGUAGUACAGCUGCGGGCGCACGGGAAAUGGGAGGGAGAAGAGGUUCAGUCACCAGCGCACAGAACCACCAAAGAUGGAAUUGGGCCCCUUGCUUUUCCGUGCUGAAGCACGAGCAGGGGUAUGCGUCAGUUCCCCGCGGUGAGAUAGGCGCUGUCCCGGUGCCAAGCUAACCCAGUGCCACAGUGGACCCGUCUGGCUCUCGCUCCGACUUACGCAAGACACGCUGCCGAAGCGGAUGGCCGACUCGUUGGACACGUAGGCCUUGUCGGCCUCAGCGAACUCCAGGCAGGGGAUCCAGCCUGCAAGCGACAGCACGAAGGGGGUAAGAUAAGUGGCCGACGCAAGCAGUCCAGGGCUAUCCCAGAUAAGGGCGGAUGACAGGCAAACUAUACAGCAGACAACGAACAAGCUAAUCUCAAGCUUCGAGCGAUCGUAAUGUCGCAGUCUGCAGCUACGCCCUAGAUCGUAUUAACUAGCUCUCAAACACAGCCCAGCUACAUAUGCCCACGGCACCAAGCCGUGCUCACCGUUGGCGACGAUGUAGUCGACCUGGGCGGCGAUCUGCUCGUCGGUCAGAGGAGGCAGGUAGGAGAAGGUCUCGAACAUCCUGCGAUCACGCGAUUGACCAGUACUCGUUAGAAGUGGCAGAGCACGUGCGAUGUGAGGCAGCAGGCUGGGCCCCAAGCAAUUGCGUCGCGACUUGCAGAAUCCCUAUCCUUCGGGCUGCGCUUGCUCGUCGACUCACUUGUUGUUGACCGGGGUCCAGACCAUCAUCUGGUUGGCCUGAGCCGGGGCAGCCACGGGGGCAGCCUUGACGGCGGGCUUCAGCGCGGCCAUGGGGCGCACGCUGGAGCGGGCCGGGCGAGCCACGGCCGCGGAGACGGAGGACUUGGCAAUGACGGCGGCCAUUUUAGAUGUUUGAGAAAGUGGUCGAAUGAACGAGUAAGUUCUUGGGACAAAGACUCGGAGGUGGCCGGUCGCCGUUUUCAAUCCCCGCUCGCCGAUGACCCGUACGGCAGGCUUAUCCGACUCGUCGGCUUUCACGACCGCCCGAGCCUGCGCGCUUCAUCCGCUUCCGGAUAGCUUGCUACGAUAAUGCAUUAUUCAAUUUUACGACGCAAUGUCAUGAGCAGCGCCGGGCGGGCUUAUUUACAUGCGUCGCCUCGCUCGCCGUUGACUUGAUACUUUGGAAAUUCGGGCUCGAUUCGUUGCUACAGCCUGCCUUUUGCACACAAUGUGAACGUCGAUUCUACAUUUGUAUGUGACUGAACUUCGCGGCCCCUACUGAACGUUUCGUGCAAGCGACAUGUCGACUCACAACUUGGAGGAACGCGCGAGGGGUCCCCACACGCACUUUCAGCCUGCUUUGGCGAAAUGGACAUGAUAGGUAUAGCCAGGAUAUGGGUCUGCUAGCUCGCCUGGUGUUUUGACCGUCGAUCGGUUUCGCGUUGGGCCUUGCGGCUGCUCGCUCGCCGCGGAUGCUUCCGCACACUGCGCGGCACGUGUUAGUCUGUGCACGACGACGGUUUGUUUGUAUUGCGCCGCCAACGUUCAACGGUGGUGGUAGGUUCGAAUGUCAGAAUGUCGGGCACGGGGACCUUGGGCGCAUUGCCUACAAGCGCGUGCCUGUGUUUUUGGGGGGCAGAGAAGUGAGCCUGCCUAUUGGGUCACAAUAGCACAGAGGCGGGUGGCCAGCGUCGGGAACUGGUUCAGAACGGCUGCAGGGACAGCACCGUGCGUGCGUGUGUGUGUGGGGGGAGCCUUCAAAGUUGACGAGCUUCGCAGCGCUGGGAUGGACUGGCAUUGCGUGCUUGAGUUUGCGUCCCGUGAGAACCCUGCAGUUUAUGGCGGAGACAGGGAAGAGGGAAUGGGAUCGCGCCGGUGCAGGGAAAGGGCACGAAUCUGAGGUUACGGUAUCUGGGGGGAGGUGCCCAUGUGGGAGGGGAAGCCUAACUGCCUGUCUGGGUGCAGACCAGGAAUGGCAACACGUGAACGGUUAGUAGAGAGCUGUGUGCUGUUGGGCGCUCUCGGCAAGGGGCGUGGGAGGGGGCUGGGUUGGUGGGCGGCUGUCCGCACAGUGCCUAGCAGUGCGCACUCAGGCCCUUCGCAGACCGAAGAGGGCGCCAGGGCCUAUGCGCGCGUGGCUUGGCGUGAGGUUCUUGCUGUUGGCGUCAGGCGCCGCAAAAGGCCGGGUGGCUCUGCAGUGUCCUGCUCGCUUGGCGUGCGGCAAAGUGGUUCAGUCAGCGAGCGCAGUGUAUGCGUGUGUGCGUGUAUGCGUGUGCGUGCGUGUGUGUGUGUGUGUGUGUGUGUGUGUGUGUGUGUGUGUGGUUGCUGCGGAGAGGGCACGCAGCGACACGAGAUUGCCAUGCAGUGGUGCAAGCUGCUGGGGUCGGGUAAACGGGGUGGGAAAGUUGGUGAUGGUGGAAUGUUCUUGUGGCACGAACUGGCCUUGUGCGUAUUCGUUCGCCCCGUUCACUCUGGUCCACCAAUCCCACAGUCACUGCACUUAAAUGCCUAAAAGCCCCUGCUACGGUGCGGACAGGGUAAGGCCACGGCAGGUCUAAGUCCAUAUGCGCCCGUAGAGGUUCGAGUGCGUUAACCGGUCGCAAGGUGUUCACAACAUGUUGAUGUGUUGACAACAUGGCUGUGGUCAAGACGUGCCCUGCGAACUUCCCGUGUUUACAUGUUAAUAGAGCUCGCUGACAGCAGUCAUUUGACACCAUUAUGGAAGAAAACAGAGGGGAUUUAGGGGGUGUACGGCACGGUAUGGCACGGUCGGUCGUCGGUCCGGGGGGUCGGGGGGUUCUGCAGGGUGGGGCCUGGAACUAUUGUUCGUACACCCCCGCCUGGCUCCCCUGCUCCCCCUGACUAACCCCUGACCUCUGGCUUUCUUCGCUUUCCUUUCAGUGUCACCAAUUCUCAUGAGUGGGGGCGCACCCCGAAAUAAGCGGGUACGGUGCUUCAGUUCAGUGCUUGCCACGGCCUCAAGAGCCCCAAACCACGUGCACCGAAAUUCGCUUGCACUCCAAAUGCACUGGGAAGCCAGUAGCAGCGCGCUCUCAAAUGCUGGCAUGUGUCUCUCUCUGUCCAGAGCCUGAAUGCGCCAAGUCUGCUACGGUAGGAGGGUGCAACCCGUGGCCCGCCUUGAACCGCGCUUGCACACACAGCUGGAUUGCUGCUGGCAUGACCGUGUGAAAGAGGUACAGGCAGCCGGGCAAGUCCCAGCGGGCAGGUUGGUGUAGGCUAUGCCCCAUAACAGGCCCGUGCAUGCUGCCACGGACUUCUCGCCAGGAAUGUAAGUCCCGAUGCUAGACAAUUACUCCAGCAGCUGCAUGCCGCCAUCUUCAGUACUCGGUAUCCCUUGGUGCACGCAAGUCAAGGAUCAGUCCCAGGGCUCACCCUGGAGCAAUGCAGCCUGCGUGUGCACCUGCGAUGGAGCCGCGGCCUGCGGUAUUGGCUGCCCGAUUACGAAGCUGCGGGUGGGGGCAGUUGGCACGCAUUCCGCCACAGACCCCGCGAGCCUAGCCGCACCCAAGCUCUAAGCGGCCUAGACCGUGACCAAAGGCGAAGAAGCCGCGGCCAUCCCUGCGCUCAGAUUGCAUUGGUUACAAGAGGGACCUGCUGACGCAGUUCAUGGCUUCAUGCGCUCAGAGCCCGAGCCCUGAGCGGCAGCAAAAGCAGAAGCCACGCUACGUGUGCUAGCUACGACCAAUGCCUUGUACAGCUCUCCUCGGCUGCGCUCUUCGGCUGCGCUCCUCGGCUGCGCGGGACAGGGGACUCCGUGCAACCACUAUUGCUUAUAGCCUGCACCAGUCAUUGACGAGUGUUGCGGAACUAAUGCGUACGUAGACCAGAGCGGAAGGCGGAGUGGGCUUGCAGGCGGCACGAGAGUAGGCAGUCAGUAGCGCAAGUUGCGAAUUCCCAUGUUACCUCGUAACCGACGGUAAACGCUGUGGACGGUCGCGCCCAUGGCUGGCUGACGGAAGCUGGCUGCGGUAUUGGGAUGGCUGGGCUGGAUGACGCCGGCCGGGCUGGCGUUGGGACUACCAGAAAGGAUGCGCCCGAAACCAACCUGGAGAACACCAGCGCCACCGGUGCCCAGCACGACAUGUAAGGGAGGGAGGGAGGGACAGGAGGCGUGAUGCACUGCAGCGUAGAAGCUGCAGUCAUGGGCACAGCUUGUACCAUACAGCACGGUCAUCAAGGACACAAUGCCGGAACGGCAUCAUACGAGGCGGGGUUGGGAGCUGCAGGAAGUGGGCAGCGGGGCAGAAUCAAAGGUUUGCAUCGUUUAGAACAGGUGCGGAACACGCGCCAGCGCCAGCGCGGAGGACCCCAAGUAAGGCCUUUACUCACCAAUGUACGUUUUGUACACCCAAUCUCGCCCCCUAUCGACGUUGGCACUAGGUAGCUGGCUAUCAUUCUAUGCAGAUUAAGCAAAGGGGCACCGGGAACAACUGACUCAUGUUCGUCACUGCAGGUUACUGCAAAUGCUGUCUCCACCUUUGCUGCACGGUUCCGUUUCGUCACGUUUGCUGGUGUUGCUACCCGCCGUUCUUUAGUGUGUAACUGAUCUGCGAACCGAGUCCCCUUCAGCUGAUGAACCCCGCAGCAACUUUUCCAAAAGCGCUUCAAAUACGCCCAGCCCGCCCAUGGAGAAAGAGGCCAAAAUCAACGGAGGAUCGUUACAACCAACAAAAUUGCAAAACUCCUCCGCUUUUUACGUGUUGAAAAAGACUGAUCAGCACGAAACGGGGAGCUAAGCUACCGCUUCAGCACUUGAGAGCAGUAUCUUCCAUCCACCGCCGUUCGUCAGGGGGCAAGGCUCAGAUCAACGAGCGCCUCCAUUUACACGGAGCGCUUGUUGGCGGGCUGCCAGUCGCGGGCAGACUUGGGGCGCUGGACCAGGAAGCCCAUGAUCUGCACCUGCUUCUGGUUGUCGAAGGCCACCAGGCGCACGUAGGCAUCGGGGAAGGCCUUGGUGCAGGCGACGAUCUCGCGCAGCACCUGCAUGGGGUCGCGGCAGCCGAACAUGGGCAGCUUCCACAUGGUCCAGUAGCGGUUGUCGUAGUACAGCUGCGGGCGCACGGGAAAUGGGAGGGAGAAGAGGUUCAGUCACCAGCGCACAGAACCACCAAAGAUGGAAUUGGGCCCCUUGCUUUUCCGUGCUGAAGCACGAGCAGGGGUAUGCGUCAGUUCCCCGCGGUGAGAUAGGCGCUGUCCCGGUGCCAAGCUAACCAGUGCCACAGUGGACCCGUGUGCCAAAAGCUAACCCAGUGCCACAGUGGACCCGUCGGGCUCUCGCCAGACUUACGCAAGACACGCUGCCGAAGCGGAUGGCCGACUCGUUGGACACGUAGGCCUUGUCCGACUCAGCGAACUCCAGGCAGGGGAUCCAGCCUGCAAGCAAGGGGAUGAAGGGUGCCGCGAAGGGUGAACGAGGGACAAAGACACGGACAGGAACCGGAUAAGGGGCGGCUUGACCAAGAACUCACGCUCCGACCGCUACUUCGGCAACCCAAAUAAGUGAUUCCACGCUAUGGCUCUGUCGCUGUCGUAUAGCCCGGCUGGUAGCAGCUGGAAAGCUCAAGUGAGGCUGGACAAGCCGCGCUGGCAUGAGUGCAAGCUGUUUGCCCAAGAAAAAGCCGCCGAAAGCCCAGGCUGACUGCAGAUUCCUGACUUGGGCACUGUUCGUUGCUGGAGUGUUGCUCGCAACCCCGCAAGCUCACCGUUGGCGACAAUGUAGUCGACCUGGGCGGCGAUCUGCUCGUCGCUCAGGGGGGGCAGGUAGGAGAAGGUCUCGAACAUCCUGCAAAUGGAAACGGCGACGCAGGGUUAGAUGCUGCUUGAGACAGCGACAGAGGAGCCAAAAGCCUUCGUCGACACAAUGCGGGCGUUGCAAGUCAAAUCUGCAAGCACGCUGCCUGAUCCGCCGGGCUUGCUCGUCGACUCACUUGUUGUUGACCGGGGUCCAGACCAUCAUCUGGUUGGCCUGAGCCGGGGCAGCCACGGGGGCGGCCUUGACGGCGGGCUUCAGCGCGGCCAUGGGGCGCACGCUGGAGCGGGCCGGGCGGGCCACGGCCGCGGAGACGGAGGACUUGGCAAUGACGGCG
rnacentral:lncRNA from 1 species